CAGCCGCCGCGGUAAUACGUAGGGUGCAAGCGUUAAUCGGAAUUACUGGGCGUAAAGCGUGCGCAGGCGGUUAUGCAAGACAGAUGUGAAAUCCCCGGGCUCAACCUGGGAACUGCAUUUGUGACUGCAUGACUAGAGUACGGCAGAGGGGGAUGGAAUUCCGCGUGUAGCAGUGAAAUGCGUAGAUAUGCGGAGGAACACCGAUGGCGAAGGCAAUCCCCUGGGCCGGUACUGACGCUCAUGCACGAAAGCGUGGGGAGCAAACAGGAUUAGAUACCCCCGUAGUCCCUGUCUCUUAUAC
rnacentral:rRNA from 1 species